UACGAAGGGGGCUAGCGUUGCUCGGAAUCACUGGGCGUAAAGCGCACGUAGGCGGCUUUUUAAGUCAGGGGUGAAAUCCUGGAGCUCAACUCCAGAACUGCCUUUGAUACUGAGAAGCUGGAGUCCGGGAGAGGUGAGUGGAACUGCGAGUGUAGAGGUGAAAUUCGUAGAUAUUCGCAAGAACACCAGUGGCGAAGGCGGCUCACUGGCCCGGUACUGACGCUGAGGUGCGAAAGCGUGGGGAGCAAACAGG
rnacentral:rRNA from 2 species